GGAGAGGGUGAGCAGUAAGUGAACUUACCAGAGCACCAUCACUAACGCGGGGGCAUGGGGAGAGGAAGAAAGGGGAGACUGCGUUGAAUCAUCCUUACACAGAUCCGAGAGGAGCAGGUAAGACAAGAGCAAGAGUUAGAUGUACCAGAAGUGUAUGUUCAAACUUAGGGACAAGCAAGGCAUACCGUAUGGUAAUUAUCAUUGACUUGGAGCAUAGUGUGAGGUCGUUUUGAUAUCAUUACAUACAUACAUGUGUCAUUUAGAUGGACUUACUUAUACUUCUAUUAUUGACAUUUGAUAAUCGAGUUUGGUGUUGCAAGUGAGGUAAAUGAGAAUCAGUGCACACCAGUAUAUAUGUAUACAUGAGUUUCAAAUGGAAGGAAAAUUAGGCAGGUUGAGCUAUUACCUUGACACCAAAGAAUAUUUCAACCCAAUGCUUUAUUUCUGUCCUAGUUGAUCGUAAUUCGACAUUAGAUGUAUGUUGAUUUUUUUUCAAUAACCGAAUACUUUUGUCUGUAAAUACUGUAUAUUUGAUUCCAUAUAUAAAUCUCUUUUCUUCCCUA